GGGCCUGUAGCUCAUCUGGUAGAGCGCGUCGUUCGCAACGACGAGGUAAGGGGUUCGAGUCCCCUCAGGUCCA
rnacentral:tRNA from 1 species